rnacentral:rRNA from 1 species
GCUUACCAUGCAGUCGAGCGAGAACUGGACUUCGGAACUGGGGACAGCGGCGAUCGGGUGAGUAACACGUGGGUAAUCUGCCCUCGGUUCUGGGAUAGCCCGGGGAAACUCGGCCUAAUACCGGAUAGCCUCUCUGGCCCUCGGGCCGGCGAGAAAAGGUAGCUUCGGCCUCCGACUGAGGAUGAGCCCGCGGCGGAUUAGCUUGUUGGUGGGGUAACGGCUCACCAAGGCGACGAUCCGUAGCUGGUCUGAGAGGACGAUCAGCCACACUGGGACUGAGACACGGCCCAGACUCCUACGGGAGGCAGCAGUGGG